AUUGAACGCUGGCGGCAGGCCUAACACAUGCAAGUCGAACGAGUGGCGGACGGGUGAGUAAUGUAUGGGAAACUGCCUGAUGGAGGGGGAUAACUACUGGAAACGGUAGCUAAUACAGCAUACCGUCAGAUGUGCACAGAUGGGAUUGGCUUGUUGGUGGGGUACCGGCUCACCAAGGCGACGAUCCCUAGCUGGUCUGGGAGGAUGAGCAGCCACACUGGAACUGAGACACGGUCCAGACUCCUGCGGGAAGGAGCAGUGGGGAAUAUUGCACAAUGGGCGCAAGCCUGAUGGAGCCCUGCCGCGUGUAUGAAGAAGGCCUUCGGGUUGUAAAGUACUUUCAGCGGGGAGGCGUUACCCGCAGAAGAAGCACCGGCUAACUCCGUGCCAGCAGCCGAGGUAAUUC
rnacentral:rRNA from 1 species